CAGCCGCCGCGGGAAUACGAAGGGUGCAAGCGUUACUCGGAAUUACUGGGCGUAAAGCGUGCGUAGGUGGUGGUUUAAGUCCGUUGUGAAAGCCCUGGGCUCAACCUGGGAAUUGCAGUGGAUACUGGGUCACUAGAGUGUGGUAGAGGAUAGUGGAAUUUCCGGUGUAGCAGUGAAAUGCGUAGAGAUCGGAAGGAACAUCUGUGGCGAAGGCGACUAUCUGGGCCAACACUGACACUGAGGCACGAAAGCGUGGGGAGCAAACAGGAUUAGAUACCCCCCGUAGUCCCUGUCUCUUAUU
rnacentral:rRNA from 1 species